AGCACGUGCGAUGGCCAGGUUAUAUUCUCCUACUGUUAUUGUGAACUUUGUUCGUUCCCUGCGUGCGAGAUCGCCGAUUCGCCAUUGCUACAGCUCUUGCCCCGUCUAAUUUACGCACUUGGGGAGGGUCACUAGUCGCUGCGCGCACUGCUGUGCUCUUCGUUCUCUCUGUCCAGUCAGCACCAGGUACAGUGAUUUCUGAGGUGCGCGAUGGAAAUUCUGAUCUACAUCUUGCUUGCUGUGCUUCUUGUACUGGGAGCCCUGUUUGUUAUCCCAAAGUCUAACAGCAAAGGUAAAGGAAAUGGAGCGCAUCCAUUAGGAAGUGGGAAGACAUCUAGAACCUAUACAAAGAAAGAGGUAUCAACUCACAACACAAGGAAGGAUUGUUGGAUAAUAAUCAAAGAUAAGGUUUAUGAUGUCACUUCAUACGUGGAGGAACACCCAGGUGGUGAUGCCAUCUUGAACAAUGCUGGAGAUGAUUCAACGGAGGGAUUUUUUGGGUGAGCUGUGUGUACCCAGCCCUGAACCUGUAGGAUCCAAAACAUUCUAGAUCCAUGUCCAUGUGGUGGUUGUUAUGAGAAUGAAACGUUAAAUAUAUACUCCCUCCAUCCCAAAUUGCCGCAACAUGGGACAAGAGUGUUUGACAUCAUCGAGGAUUUCUGCAUCGGCGAACUGAAGGAGUAGAGGCUGUGGAUGCUACGAAUCAAGUGUGAACCCACGCGUUCUUCUGCAUUUUCUGGACGACGACGACAGGAAGUGAUGAGGACUCCUCCCAGCUUUUGUGGUUCUGCUUUGAUAUUGACCAGGUAUUUUACCAGGCAGUAGCAGUGUUUGAAGCAUGGACUUUGGACGUGUCCUGGACGUUUUUGUUAGCUUUAUCACUUUGAGAAGAUAUGCUUGUUAGAUGUAUGGAACUUUCUAAGACCGGACAACUAAUUUGCCCAUGCAUUUUCAUAUUGAUGUUUAAAACAUGACAGUGAGAGGCAUUUGCCCAGUCCAAUUCUCCUCCCCCCCUGGUCGUGUCUGAGAAUGACAGAGCUGUUCGGCUCAAGGGAACACGUUUAGAAUUAUGGUGAUUGAUUGAUGAGCUCAUAUUUCAAUCUUUUUUUUUGUAUGAAGAUGAAAGUUCAUACUUUUGUUCAUGAUGAAUUAAUCUUGACCGAAGAGUUGAUCUUCAAAGAUUAGGUAAGAGUAUAUACCGGAUGUAAAACAGCUCACAAGGCCCCAGCAGCUUGUAAGCAACACAUUGGUAAAGCAUGAGAGAGUAAGUACUGUCGUAUUAUUUUGUUAUAAAAGAAAAAUACUGUUGAAUCAGAUAACCCAAGCCUUGUUGUGACUUGUGAUGUGAGUAUGAUAUGGCCUAGGCACUGCCAGGCUGUGGUUGAAGGACAAGGUUUGUUUGGAAGUUGCCCAGUUUGGUGUAUCAUCAUGAUCAAUCCAGUCACACGUUACCCACCUUUUGGUAACCAGGGUAAAAAAAAGGCUUAUAAACGUAUUUGUGUUUUCAAAAUACAUUUAUGUGCAAGAGUGUAGAGCAAGAGCAACUACCAAUAAUUGAGAUCAACAAUGAAAAAUUCUCACAUAGCUCGAAGGAUCUUAUUUUCCCUUGGCACAAAAAAAAAAUUCAA